UUAUUUUUAGUUUAGGUUUGAGGAUGAAAUCGGCGACGAUUCUUAUUUUACUCUUAGGAGUGGUAUUUUCCUACUGUCCCAGUCAGAUCGACUCUAAACUCGACACAGUCAUAUCGAAAUUAGAGUUGAUGAUACUAGCUUUGGAGAAUGAAGAUUUCAGUGGAGUCUCGAUUGACAUUGAUACUGAUACAACAGAUUGGGUGAGCGAAGCUGACGAUUUACAGCCAACUCCAGACACUUCUGAGGGAGACAGCAGGACGGAUUUCAGAUUCUGUGUACCGAUCAGACUUCAAAACUACUGUCCAGACGGCUAUGUCGCGAGAUCAGGGGCUGCAGACAGUAAUGGCCGCAGAUCUUUCAUGUGCUGCAAGUGAAGCUGAACCACAAGAGAACCGCAAGUUAUUUGCAUGUUAAUGUAGUCAAACCACCGCUUUGUUUUCAACUUCAGAUUUUAGUUCAUCUUAUAAACUUAUCUUUUUUAAAAGUUUAAUAUUAUAGCAAAGGGGAUUAACUCCCCCAAUGAUAGGGGAACUUUUCAUAAGCGUUCGUGAUUGUAUUUUUGAGAUAAAACUGAAAUUCAUGUAAUUUAACAUGAAAUGUUCAUGAUGAAGAUUGACAAAUCAGACUUUGCACCUGUACAUUGAAUGUUACAAAAUACAAUUUUAAUCUUGCAAAAGGGUAUUGUUUUUAUGUUUAUCAUGAUACCCUUCUCCUAGGACCUAGCAGUCUGGUUAGUUUGAGCAAGAUCUCAACAAUUAAUCUUGCAAACCCAAAAAUUAGGAACAUUACAUUUUGUUUUGGGCGAUUUAAACUCAGUUCUCAAUAGAAUUAGAUGUUUCUCAAAUAUUUAUAGUCCUAUAAUAUUUGCUUCACCUAGCAAUGGUUAAGUUUCUAAUCCUGGUUCUAUCCCUCGUGGUUUUGGGACAGUGUUGCAACUACGCCAAACUGGAGAAGAUAGAUCGCUUGAUGGAACAGUUUCUGAAUUUAGUGGAGGAGAAGAAGUAUAAAUACGAGGCUGCCCUGAUGACAUACGAACUGAUGAACUACAACGAGGUAGAAGAGGACAACCCAGAGGACUACGCGGUCGCGGGGGAGCUCAGAGACGGUUUACUUGGUGCUGGUUCACAGAAAUGUGACCACGCAAUAUGGGCCCGCGACUCAGAUACGACGGUGAUGGCGUGCCAGCCAAAGCGACAUCUCAAUGGUCUGACCUUCGUCCCUUCGCCGUAUGGGGGUGGUCAGUUCACAGAGGCAGUUUGUUGCGUCGCUAAGUGAUGUAAUUGAACGGACAUGUAUAUUAUUGACUGUUUUUUUAUGACAUUUACUUGAUUUACAAUCAAGGUGUCAAAAUGUUUCCCUUCACACACUCGGGCAUGUUAUAAGAUAUUCAUAUGGUCAAUCCUUUCAGAUUGGAAUCUGAAUCAGAUGUUAAAAUAGGAAAUAAUCAUGACAGAUCUUAGUAACGAUUUUUUUGGAAGAUUUUGGAACUCAUAGAAAUUUGUUUGUAAUGUAUUUUUUAUCAAAUUUCAUUUCUACAUUUCUUCGCAAUAUCA